CUGUCCCCAGAAGCAUGAAAACAUGGCAGAUGGAACGUAAAUGGACAAAAGGAGACUAAAGCUGAAGAGAAGAGAUUACAGAACUUGAAGCUACCAUAUACUGAGUUACAGAAGAGUGGCCAGCUUUGUCACCUUGACACUACCCAGAAUCACCUGGGAAGAGUCUCAGCGAGAGACUGUCUACAGUGGGUUGACGUGCUUGAUGUAACCAGCCACCUCCCGCUCCAGCUUCCAUGCCUUUGCCGCCAUGAUGGGCCACGCCCUUAACCUCGAGCAAAAACUAAGCCUUCCUUCCAUUGCUUUUUGUGAGGUAUUUGAUCACCCGAUACAGCAUUUUCUUCACUCGCAAACAGAAAGGGCAUCGUGGAUACAGAGACACUUCUCAUCAAAUGACCCAUUAUCGUCAUGCCAGGCAAAUGAGGUGUGGCCGACAACAGUGACAGGCAAAACCACAAAGAGAAAACUGGAGGUCCAACCGCGGGAAGCUAAGCCUUGUGACUACCUGCUCAGCACAGAUUCGAACAUUGCUUCCAGACUUUUAAGUUCUGCAUCUCUGAGGAGGUUACCUGAUCCCUCAGGGCCCCUGUCUCCUCCUCUGUGAAAUGGGGUUAGCUAUACCAGCUUCCAGGUUUCGGGGACCAGCAAGGACAUCUGUGGUACCUGAGUCCUGAACUCCUAGCCCAGGUCCGGCUGACAAGAUAGUAGCCUCCUGAAUCCAUUCCCUUCCUAUCCGCAGGGAAAGCUGACUCUCCAGUGGAAAUCGGCUUCCCGGUUUAUGACACUGGCCACCGCUUAAGACUGCAGCCCACUGCAGUUUCCUUCUCAUGGAUCAGUUAGCAUGUGGGGAAGUGGGGUGCGUUUAAAUACAGUCUCUCCCAGCAUCUGUCGGUCUUGUUCCUAGAUCAAGGUCAAAGCCAUGCAUAGAAAAGACAGGGGCUGCCCUCUCUGUUCCUCUCUUCCUCCCUCCUACCCACCCUUUCUCUCCCACAAUGCUCAAUACAGCUCAGUUCCCUUCUGCUGGGACAGUAGGGAGUGUGAUGAUUCAAACAGAAUGAGCCCCUUCCUGGGAAAGAGUUGGGCAGGAUGGUCUUCACGCCUCCAUGCCCAGAGCCUGGCCCCCUGCCGUUACUCUAAGGGACAACAAUGGCUUCUCUUGUACCCUGCACAGGUGGCUGACCUGCCCAGCAUGGGGGGUCCCGUGGGGGACACUCAGCCAAGAGACCCAGCCUCACAGGGGCUCAGUGUGGCAAAUGUGAACUAUGUCCCAGUUCAGAUCUCUUGGGUCUACCUCUUUCUCUUGCCACCGUGGACCACACGACAUGGGAUGCCCUCAGAGUUACUAUACGCGCACAUGUGCGCGCGCGCACACACACACAUACCCGCGAGCGUUAGCUACUCUAGGAUGGCACAGGUGCAGGGAGCGGGUGACUGAGGAAGCCUUUGGACAGAGGCAGAUGGAAGCCAGUGGGGAGCCACUUCCCAUCUUCCUAGCAAUCUGGAGAGACGUGUUCCUUGCUUCUUAUAAGUCCUCCAGGACCCAGCGACCAAUCACCCACAGCAGGGACCCUUCCACAACAAAACUCAUUACCCUCCCAAACCACUGUGGCU
ensembl:lincRNA